rnacentral:rRNA from 1 species
AUGCCAAGCCACAAAUUUGCCUGCCCCGAGGGAGUUCUCCACGCCCGGAUCAACGACGUUCGCCAGGCGGUCACCGUCGAGUCGAUUCGCGAGUUGUUCCGUCGCUCCGGUGAUGGGAAUGUGAUCUGCGCUUACGAGCGGGUGGUGGACGGGAUGUACGGCGUGGAGGCAUAUGUCGAGUUCCGGUCACGAUGGAGGGCGACCCGAGCUCGAGAUGCCCUGGAUGGCCAUGCCAUCUACGAGGGGUGUUGCAUCCUUGCCGUGGACCUCCUACCACCGACCUACACCACCAUCCAUGCCGGAUGA